UCCGCCUUGCGGCUCGCAAGUCCAGGGCUGGCAGGCUAGGGAGUCCCGGAGAGAGUGAGGGGCCCCUGCAUCUUUCUGCGCCUAGGAGCUCCCUGCUCACUGAGUGAGGCUGCGGGGAGAGAACAGCAGAGCAGGUGAGAGCUGUAUAAGCUAGAGGCAGGCAGGGACCGUGGGAGACCUCACAGGAGAAGCCUGGAGAAAUCUGGCACCUGCAUCAGCACCAGCCUCCUCUGUCAGGGACUGAGGGCUGCACGGAGAGCGCAGCGCCAGGCCAGCGUCAGUGGACUUGGGAGCAGGAAUCAGUUCUGGGGUUCCCUGAGCCUUUGUGUGCUCACCCCAAACAAGGGUCCAAGGGCAGCGGCCUUGUCUGUAUGCUCACUGUUGCCCCCUCAGUCCCAGGGCAGAGUCCAGCACCACACAGAGACCUAGAAAGUUCCCGUGCCCCAGACACCAAGGGCAGCAGCAGGCAGAGUUUCCAAGGUCUCCUGGAUGCUGGGCAUGUGUGAGCGAAGACACAAGAGGUACAGGGCGUGGGGAGAUGGACCCAAGGUACCAGGAGGCGGGACCUGCAUGGAAAACAGCAGGA